rnacentral:rRNA from 1 species
GACGAACGCUGGCGGCGUGCUUAACACAUGCAAGUCGAACGAUGACGCCAGCUUGCUGGUGGCUUAGUGGCGCACGGGUGCGUAACACGUGGGUGAUCUUCCCCAUACUUUUGGAUAAGCCUGGUAAACUGGGUCUACUACCGAAUAUGACCGAUACUCGCAUGGGUGUUGGUGGAAAGCUCCGGCGGUUUGGGAUGGGCGCGCGGCCUAUCAGCUUGUUGGUGGGGUAAUGGCCUACCAAGGCGCCGACGGGUAGCCGGCAUGAGAGGGGGACCGGCCACAAUAGGACUGAGAGACGGCCCAGACUCCUACGGGAGGCAGCAGUGGGGAAUAUUGCACAAUGGGCGCAAGCCUGAUGCAGCGACGCCGCGUGAGGGAUGACGGCCUUCGGGUUGUAAACCUCUUUCGCCAGGGACGAAGCGAAAGUGACGGUACCUGGAGAAGAAGCACCGGCCAACUACGUG